AGUGAACGCUGGCGGUAGGCCUAACACAUGCAAGUCGAACGGCAGCACAGGAGAGCUUGCUCUCUGGGUGGCGAGUGGCGGACGGGUGAGGAAUACAUCGGAAUCUACUUUUUCGUGGGGGAUAACGUAGGGAAACUUACGCUAAUACCGCAUACGACCUACGGGUGAAAGCAGGGGACCUUCGGGCCUUGCGCGAUUGAAUGAGCCGAUGUCGGAGUAGCUAGUUGGCGGGGUAAAGGCCCACCAAGGCGACGAUGCGUAGCUGGUCUGAGAGGAUGAUCAGCCACACUGGAACUGAGACACGGUCCAGACUCCUACGGGAGGCAGCAGUGGGGAAUAUUGGACAAUGGGCGCAAGCCUGAUCCAGCCAUACCGCGUGGGUGAAGAAGGCCUUCGGGUUGUAAAGACCUUUUGUUGGGAAAGAAAUCCAGCUGGCUAAUACCCGGUUGGGAUGACGGUACCCAAAGAAUAAGCACCGGCUAACUUCGUGCCAGCAGCCGCUGUAA
rnacentral:rRNA from 1 species